GGAGUAAGAGCCCAGGAAGGGUGAAGAGAUCAUCCGUGUGGAGGGGCCACCCAGUGUGGCAUACAGAGCCUGAGGAGGGCGUCCACGCAUGGGGCUAGCCUGGCACAGGUGUUAGAACCUAGAAGGUCAGCCUGGGCAACAUAAUGAGACCUCAUCUCUGCAAACAAAUAUAAAUAAAUUAAACAAAAAUAAAUAAAUAAGCUGGGCAUGGUGGCUUGCACCUGUGGUCCCAGCUACUUGGGAGGCUGAGGUAGGAGGAUCGUUUGAGCCAGGGAGGUCGUUGCAGUGAGCCUUGAUGGCACCACUCCACUCCAGCCUGGGCGACAGAGCGAGAUCCUAUCUCAAAAAAACAGGACCCUAGAAGGUCAAGAAUGGUGUCUGCAAGCAGGGUGUAUAGGGCAUCCACACAGGAUGGUCUACUGGGGACUAUCUGAGUCUGAGCAGGGAGGAGAGGGCAUCCGUGUGGAGGGGCAGCCUGAUGUGAGGUCUAGAACCCAAGCAGAGUGAGGAAGACAUCCAUGCCGGAGGCAGCCAGGCAGAGGGACUCAGAGUCCAAGUGCAGCCAGUAGGAUGUCCACGUGGGGACCAGCUUGUCCUGGAGAGUCAGAGGCGGAGCUAGGGAGUCAGCAUCUCCCUGAAGAGGCAGCCUGGCAAGACGGUGUCAGACAUGAGCCGGGUCAUGAGGGCAUCUACACAGGGGCCGCUCGGCAUGCAAAGCCAGAGCCCAAGUGGAGUAAGGAGGGUGUUUGCCAGGGGUGUGGGGUGGCCUCCUGCAGGUUUCCAAACCUGAGAUAAAAGGAGAAGGCGGCCGGGAGCAAUGGCUCAUAAAGAUUUAAGACACCGUGUCAGUGGUUUGGGGCUGGUAUAAUAGAAUGCCGUAGACAUAAUGGCUUAAACAACUUAUUUUUCACAGUUCUGGAUGCUAGAGGGCCAAGAUCAGAGCAAAGCAUAGUUCGUGGUGAAGGCCCUCUUCAUGAUUAUAUCCUUACAUUGCCUUCAUUGGUAUUUGGAAAGAGAGUGAGACAGAGAGGGAAGCGGUGGGCGGAGACAAGAAAAGCAAAACAAUGUACAACAGAGGAUAUGUUAUCAUAGUACAGUACCUCACUCAGCAGAGAACAAUGUUUAUUUAGUCAUUUUAAUGAAAACACCAAAUGUAAAUUAAGCAAAACUUGCUAAAACUUUGUUGGGAGGAUGGAAAGAGGAUAAAUGUGUGUGUGCCUAUAUGACAGUUAAAUCCUCAUCUUCAAUAUUUGCCAGUCAAUUGGUAAUAUUUAAAAUGUAACAUCAGGCCAGGUGUGGUGGCUCACACUUGUAAUCCCAGCACUUUGGGAGGCCAAGGCAGGCAGAUCACCUGAGGUCAGGAGUUUGAGACCAGCCUGGCCAACAUGGUGAAACCCUGUCUCUACUAAAAAUACAAAGAUGAGCCAGGCAUGGUGAUGCCCACCUGUAAUCCCAGCCACUUAGGAGGCUGAGGUAGGAGAAUUGCUUGAACCCAGGAGACAGAGGUUCCACUGAGGCAAGAUCAUGCCACUGUACUCCAGCCUAGGUGACAGAGUGAGACCCUGUCUCAAAAAAAAAAAUUAAAAAUUAAAAAUAAAUAAAAAAAUAAAAUGUAAAAUCAGGAAAUAGCAACAUAAGUACAGCAUUUUAUUUAUUUGUAAAUCUAAUUUAUCAUUUAAUUUCUCCUUUGAUCCAUGAGUUGCAUGGAAGUAUUAGUUGACUUACUACAAUGUGGGAAUUUUUUUCUAUUUUGUUGAUUUAUGAUUUAAUUUCACCGUGAUCAGAGAGCAUACUUUAGAUUUCAAAGCCAUUAUCCUCAGCAAACUAAUGCAGGAACAAAAAACCAAACAUGGCAUGUUUUCACUUAUGAGUGGGAGUUGAACAAUGAGAACACAUUGACCCAGGGAGGGGAACAACACACACUGGGGCCUGUCGGGGGGGCUGGGAAGGGCGCGCAUCAGGAAGAACAGCUAAUGCGGGGCUUAAUACCUAGGUGAUGGGAAGAUCUGUGCAGCAAAUCACCAUGGCACAUGUUGACCUCUGUAACCAGCCUGCACAUCCUGCAUAUGUACCCUGGAACUUAAAAUAAAAGUUGAUGAAAAAAAUUUUUAAGACUUACCGUAUCUCCCUGAAUAUGCUCUAUCUUGGUGACCAUUCUAUGUGCCCUUGAAAGGAAUGUGUCUAUUCUGCUGUUGUUAGGUAUACUGCUCUGUAAUUAGAUGCAGUUGGUUGACAGUAAAUUUCAGAUCUCCAUUAUAUCCUUAUAGAUUUAUUUAUUUAUUUAUUUAUUUUGAGAUAGAGUCUCACUCUGUCG
rnacentral:lncRNA from 1 species